rnacentral:misc_RNA from 1 species
CCCACUGGAGCCAACAAAAUUCAGAACAGACCAGCUUCCGUCUGAAAUCGCGUUCGUUGAUUUCCGAUCUAAGAUCCAUACCACGAAAAUUUUCAAUAGAGCAGUCCAGUCCGUCACUGACGGAAUAACAAGGGGAACUACAAAAACGGAAGUUAUGAGGCCGGGGAAAAGGCAGCGAGUCCAGUUUGAGGGCGAAGUAUUCACCUUCUGAAAAAUCUUCCUAACAGACCUUUAUCAGGCGAUUCGGCAUGCAUUCAAUGGAUACAAUCGAACAGUUUGAAGAGAUUGAGUUACGGGCGAUUUUUUUAUUCUUGUUCCUCGCUCGGCGACAGCUUGACUGCUCUGGCGACAAGCGUGUGCGCAACGUUACGCCAGGGCAGAGUCCCCCUUGCUCUUCCGAGUCAGGUGACGCUCUGGUUGAAGUCUAAUCCGAAACGAAAGGAAGAGGAUCCUAAAGCCAAGGAUAACGCGCCUCCGCAGGGAACACAGUCGCAGUCGCCCUGACAGGAGGGAGGAGGAAGUCCUAACCAAGGCGUCGGAACGGCGUAUCUUCUGGAAAGGCACGUUUGUCGACAAGCGUCUCCACACAACGACGUGUUCCAAGUCUUCUACAGGUUACUACUAUUUCGCCGCACCAACCUCCGCCCCUCGACAAUGUCCCGCGAGCGUGAACCCCGUCAUCGCAAGGCUGCAUCGUCAGCGUCCGUGCGUGCUCCUCGCGGUGCCUGCAAUGGAGGGAAGCGUCUGGAGUGUCCAGUGUGCGAGAAGCAGUUCGCCUUCAGAAGUCAACUAGAAACGCACCUUCGGACCCACACCGGGGAGAAACCUUUCGAGUGCACAGUUUGCGAGAAGAAGUUCAUUCGAAGUGGAGAUCUCAGAACACACCUUCGGACCCACACCAGGGUGAAGCCUUUCGAGUGCACAGUUUGCAACAAGAAGUUCACUGAAAGUGGUAAUCUCAGAAGGCACCUUCGCACCCACACCGGGGAGAAGCCAUUCGAGAGCACAGUUUGAGUGAAGUCCACGCUAAAUGGAACUCCAAGAAAACGCCUUUUUUGGCGCACCCAAGAGACAAGCUGAGUGAGUGAAGUACUUUCCCAUGAUUUGUUUUUAUGAUGUUGUUCUUACAGCUUACGUUUGCAGUAUAAUUUGAUAAGUUCUUCUGAA